ACUGAUGCCAGACAGUUUGUACUCACUCACUCAGUUGUUAGCUUACGUAAAUUGUCAUAUAAUAGAUAUAGAUUUUGACAAAAUAUACCGAAGACUUCCUGUAACACAUAGGAACACAUAAGUGAUCUUAUUAGCUGUGUUGUGUACUACUAUCUUCCUAGCUGUCACCACGGAUUUGGAUCAGUUCAUUUUUAUGAAUGAAAGCUAGAUGAUACCAGGAACAACCACCGUCCGUGACUGAUGUCAGCGACAAACUACCAAACCCCAAGCCUUCAACCAGUUGAGAUUAAGACCAAAUAUUUGGACUAUAUGAGUACUAGUAGUGAUACAAGCAGUAUUGAGUCUACAGAUAGGAUGUCCACUGAAGUAAUGUACAACCUUGACUCACCAGGAGAUAUACACUGUAACUGUCCCAGGAUUGAGUCCAAAAAGACUAUCCUCUAUAAACUUCUGACAACGGGCUCUGUGUGUCCAUCACCUUCAUGUUAUUUGAAAGAACAUUUUAGAUCGGCUGCGUCAAUAUCUAACAGCUCACAUCAUCAUGAAAACAGCAAACUUAAGGUGCUCUUACAAGAAGUGCGGAAUGAAGCAUCGUAACUAUCAUCUUAGUACAUAAUAGCAGUGUUUACAAGAAUCCCCAUCUUUGAACAACCCAUACAGAGUGGAAGAAUAUCAAAGUGAAACGCAACUACGUCUCAAUGAGUACGUCACAGCGAUGUAUCCCAAUGACCCUCUGCGAUUUGCAAGAAUCUUGUUGUGUCUGCCAACCCUAAGGAACAUCAAGGCUCAAGUUCUGAUCGAACUGUUCUUUCGUCCGUUGAUCGGCGAAGCCUGCAUGGAUGAGGUCCUGGAGACCAUGUUACAGCAGUAGUGUGACCAGCCUUUCUGUACACUUUGUAUAAUUAACUUAUUUAUGGACGUCACAGCCAUUAGUAGUCGAUCAAUUUUAUCGAAACGAGACAAAAAAAUGCAAAUUCCAUGUGAAAACAAUACUGAAAUGUAUCUUUUAGCUACAGUGUAUGUAAAUACAAUGCUAUUGACAGCUGACAGGCAGCUACAAACUAUUUCAGUUUUCUACUAAAACUGUAGUGUCUCAGAGUACAUAAUGCGUUUUGAUUCAACCAAUCAGAGAUAGUGUUUUACAAUGAUGUUCUCCCCAGCAGCUGUUUAAGAUAAAGUUAUUUAGUGGGUUUAUAUGAUGUGUAUUUUGCGUAAUUAUCCCGACUGCUCAUUCAUUUACCACCAGAUUUUUCGAGCAUCAUCGAAAGUUUGUUUUUCGUCUGUGAAGACAUUUUAGCUCAAUUCAAAAUUGAUGCAAAAUGUGUAAAGAUUUUUGCUCAAAAAUUUGGCAUUUUGUUGACUAAAAUGGGUGAGCAUAUCUGCUGGAUAUUGAAAGCGGAAUGAUUGCCAGUUACUCUAUCUUUAGUUUUUUAAGUUUUAUUCAAACUUAUUUGUAAAAUAAAACAAAUAAAUAAUAUAGAAAGGGCAAAGCAGCCAUUCCAGCUUUCAUUUUGUUGUCAGUGACAUUAGAAACCCUUUCAGAAGCAACACAAUUUAAAUAAAUUAUUGAAGAAAGAAACAACUCAAAAGGUCUCUAUUUUAUUGUUUAUUUAAUAAAUUCUCACCAAGUGAGUAUAAUAAAUGGACACAAAGCACCAUGUCCCUUUCACCCGCACCUUGACUCUUUACAUGCACUUGUUAAUGUAUAUUGUAGAUUCAGUUGUUUUCAUCAAUUCAUUGGGGACCACCUAUUAUUUAGUAAUAUUUUUAUUUUAAAUGAAAAAUUUUUUUUUUUUUAAUUUGUCUCUGGGUGUUGUUGUUUUGAUAUUUUUGUUGACAAUAUGACAAAACUGUCAUGGAAGACCUGUCUGAAAUGAAUGUUUUGUAGUCCUUCAUUUUUGCUGAUUAAUUUUUCUUCUGAGUAACUGUAGGAUAAGCUACAUUGACCUGUGGUUCUGUGAACAAUGUACUAAAUAGACUUGAAAUAAUGUUGUACAAUGAUAUUGGUAGUAAGACAGAUUUGUACUGAACCAUGGGUCAUUGUCUUGCAUGUGCUUGAAUGCGGUGGUUUGGAUGAAUUAUUAUAGUUUUUUAAUGUUUGAAGCUAUCUCUAUCUACUGAAAUCAUACUAAGUAUUGCUGGUAAAAUCAUCGCCUGGCCAUAACUGUUCCUAAAAUAUUGCAAUCUUUUCAAUAUCCAUGACAACCCAAAACAAGUUUUGUAGGUUGUCCCUGAAAACAUCAUUCCCAGUGGGGGUUCAGUGGAUAUAGAUGGGCUGUUUUGUAAAGGAGUAAAAUACAAUUGUCCCUCCAUCAGUUUAACAAGGCUAAGCCUAUUUCCAAUAUUACUUGGAGGCCAGUAGACAGUUUCGCAGCCUUGACCGCAUGUUGCCAUAGUAAUAAUUUAGUUAACUAAAGAACCCAUUUCUGUGAACUUGAUUUGACCCAACACAUGGACAUUCUUGAGUGCCUAGCUGGUCUGUCAAUCAUAUACAAUGUCCUUGGUGGGUCCAAAAACUAGUAUCCAUUACUUUAUUACUCUGUCUAUUUAGCAGUGCAAUAAAUAUCGUAACCUUGACCCAAGCAUGUACACCCCCCCUCCACCUGCUACUCUUACUGAUUUAAACCCUAUCAUCUCCAUGGCGAUGUUCUUUAAUGUUCACUCUGCAGGUAUUCAAGUAUCUAUUGCUUCUCAGGCCCACUUUCCCUGGUAAUUUAAAAAAAAAACAUAAUGUAUAGUUUCACUAACCAGAUAUUUUUGAGUUUACAAUUCAAGAAAUAUUAAAAUACUGUUGUUUUUUUUGUUAUGUACUGUCCAUUGCAGAGAUGGGUGGAUUUCAAGUCAUUCAUAAAUCACAACAAUCUGUGUGAUCAGUGUUGAUUUCAAUUUAGAAUGUUUUUAUUUUGAAAAUUAGCUGUACACUGGUGUUUAUACAUAUCUGGUUUCUAUUUCAUUCUUUGCUUUGUUACAUUCAACCCAGUGCCAACUUGGUAUCUCGAUCUGUGUUUAUUUCAAAUAAAAAUGCAAUAUCAAUACAGUAAA